rnacentral:rRNA from 1 species
CCUACGGGUGGCAGCAGUGGGGAAUAUUGGGCAAUGGGCGCAAGCCUGACCCAGCAACGCCGCGUGAAGGAAGAAGGCUUUCGGGUUGUAAACUUCUUUUCUCAGGGACGAGGAAAGUGACGGUACCUUAGAAAUAAGCCACGGCGAACUCCGUCCCAGCAGCCGCGGUAAUCCGUAGGUGGCAAGGGUUAUCCGGAUUUAUUGGGUGUAAAGGGCGUGCAGGCGGGAGCGCAAGUCAGAUGUGAAACCCCAGGGCUUAACCCUGAGCCUGCAUUUGAAACUGUGUUUCUUGAGUGCUGGAGAGGCAAUCGGAAUUCCGGGUGUAGCGGUGAAAUGCGUAGAUAUAAGGAGGAACACCAGUGGCGAAGGCGGAUUGCUGGACAGUAACUGACGCUGAGGCGCGAAAGCGUGGGGAGCAAACAGGAUUAGAUACCCGGGUAGUC